UACGUAGGGUGCGAGCGUUAAUCGGAAUUACUGGGCGUAAAGCGUGCGCAGGCGGUUCGCCAAGUCAGGUGUGAAAUCCCCGGGCUUAACCUGGGAAUUGCGCUUGAAACUAGCGGGCUUGAGUGUGGCAGAGGGGGGUGGAAUUCCACGUGUAGCAGUGAAAUGCGUAGAGAUGUGGAGGAACACCGAUGGCGAAGGCAGCCCCCUGGGUCAACACUGACGCUCAUGCACGAAAGCGUGGGGAUCAAACAGG
rnacentral:rRNA from 1 species